rnacentral:rRNA from 1 species
AUUGAACGCUGGCGGAAUGCUUUACACAUGCAAGUCGAACGGUAGAGGGGGCAACCCCUUGAGAGUGGCGAACGGGUGAGUAAUAUAUCGGAACGUGCCCAGUCGUGGGGAUAACGUAGCGAAAGUUACGCUAAUACCGCAUACGAUCUAAGGAUGAAAGCGGGGGACUCGCAAGAGCCUCGCGCGAUUGGAGCGGCCGAUAUCAGAUUAGGUAGUUGGUGGGGUAAAGGCUCACCAAGCCAACGAUCUGUAGCUGGUCUGAGAGGACGACCAGCCACACUGGAACUGAGACACGGUCCAGACUCCUACGGGAGGCAGCAGUGGGGAAUUUUGGACAAUGGACGCAAGUCUGAUCCAGCCAUUCCGCGUGCAGGAUGAAGGCCUUCGGUUGUAAC